CACGUAGGGUGCGAGCGUUGUCCGGAAUUAUUGGGCGUAAAGAGCUCGUAGGCGGUGUGUCGCGUCGGCCGUGAAAACCUGCAGCUUAACUGUGGGCUUGCGGUCGAUACGGGCAUCACUGGAGUUCGGCAGGGGAGACUGGAAUUCCUGGUGUAGCGGUGAAAUGCGCAGAUAUCAGGAGGAACACCGGUGGCGAAGGCGGGUCUCUGGGCCGGUACUGACGCUGAGAAGCGAAAGCGUGGGGAGCAAACAGG
rnacentral:rRNA from 1 species